UACGGAGAGAUGAGAGUCUGGGUGGAGAAGGGAUUUAAUGGCUUGGAUCUCCUGUACAUCUCCUACACAUCUCCCCAGUCUUUCUCUUACUCUCCUUCCAUUCUUCUGUAGAAUCCACCAGGUGUACCAUUGGAUCCACUAUACAUUGCCUAUCGAUUCCCUCAGAUGUUCCCUGCCCCCAUCCCAUCUCCUAUAAAUCCAUCAUUUAUCCCCUGCCUCCCCUUCCAGACCCUAUAAAUUAUCUAGUCCCAGUCAUCUUGUGCAUCUGUGUCCAUCCUUUACAGAUCCACUAUAAAUCCACCCAAGUGUUACCUGCCUCCACCUCCAUCCCGUGCCUAUUCUCACAAGUCCAACAAGUUUCACACCCCCUUCAUCCCCCAUAACCCCACAGUGCUCCUGUUCUGUUUUGUCUCCGGUGCCUACCCACAAAUUCCUGAGGCUGUGCACUUCCAGAUAAGUCUUUGGGUCAGGGACCCCUGAUCCCAGCCUGUUCCUGGGCGCCCCGUACUCCACCUGGAACGCAAAUCCCUGCCCAUGAGGACCCCGGGAUCCCCCAAAUCAGAUGGCUUACUCUAACCUUGUGUGAUGCCCCAAAAUCCUGACCAGGGGGAAGCACAAAUCUGCAUUGUGGAGAUCCCCCAGGGCCCAAAUCAAAGUCCUUGCACGAACUGGGGAAAACCCAGCCAUAAUAAUCCACCUGACAGUGUGGGCAAUCCAUGCAAUGCAAUGGGACCCCCAAAAGGCACACAUAUUUACUCGCAAUAUCGGACCAGUGUUACCCCAAAUCAAAGUCCCCCCAGAUCCCCAAACACACCAUCACUGACCACACCCACACACUUACAACAGAGAUGUCCCUCCUCACAGCCAUACUGUUCUCUACCAUCUCCAGUUGCAGGAGAAUGGCUCGAGCAGCAAGGACAUUGUGAGUACGAGUGAUACGUGCACUACCCAGGCUAUGAGAGCUUGAAGCUGUCAAAGCAAAAAGAAAAGCUGAGGCUGCAGUUAAGAUAAGGGGGAAGCUAGCCUGGGGAGAGACUAAGGCAAUGGAAUGUGAGGAAUAGUGUGAAAAGCCGUGUGAUGAUUAAUGCUGGACCAAUAGCUUUGCGAGCAAGACGCGUGAUUUCUGCGUGCUAACCAACCAUGAGCUGUCUAUCUCCGUGUGCACCCUGUAUUUCUGUAUUAGUGUGAGGUGAUUCGGGCAAUAAAUUGAAGCUCCGACAUUACUUAUGUGAAGACAUGUGGUUCGUUUCGGGCAACCCUCCUUCAAGUGGCGCCCGAACAGGGACCCGGGAAAGCCGCACAAGUUGCCACCGUGGUUCGAUGUAGAGGCAGCGGGACGCUCGAGAGUUGUCACAGCGGUUUGAUGUGGAGGCAACGGGAACGGGGAAGGUUGCUGCGGGUAAGUGCUGUUUGCCAAGAGGACGGUAGCUCAGAACAUCGUGUGCCGAGAGGACAACGACUCAGACCUGCAGCGGGGUGAGUGCUGUGUGCUGAGAGGACAGCAACUCGGGUAGGAAGAGUGUGCAGCUUCCUCCUCCGCCAACUGCUGCUAGCAUGGACAGACCCUGCUUCUUAUUAUCCUCACUAAGCAAGGGGAGACAGUGAAGGAUAAGGACCUAGCUAUGCUAGUAACGUGGGCCCGAGAACAGGGGUUCCUGAAGACUCCUCUGCUCAUUUUCGUAGCAGAAGGAUGGCGUGAUAUAGGAGAUCAUAUGUGGGACUGUGUUAUAUUUGGGGGGAAGGAUGAGAAGUUACUGAAGCCUCUGAGAUCGGUGUGGCGUGCUGUUGCCAACACCUUGAAGGCCAUAUGACCUCCCGCUGAAUGGCCGCCGCCACAGCCACCUCAGCCAUUGCCCGGUUCUCACCAUGGGAGUGAGGAGCUUCCAGGACUACAUCGAGAAGCACUGCACCAGCGCCGUGGUGCCUGUCGAGCUGCAGAAGCUGGCGCGGGGCAGCCUGGUGGGAGGGGCGGGGGGUGGCAGCAGCCUCCGCAGACCUUGCUGCGCCUCCUCAUCGAAGCCGACAACUGCCUGCACUGGCUCCAUGGCGGCUUCUACAUGGGCUGGGAUGUUCUGCUGAACUGAUUGCUGGACUAAAUGUCACGCUGCCUUGGG
rnacentral:lncRNA from 7 species